UACUGCCUAAUCAUGCUGUGAAUUUCGAUGAACAUUCCUAAUCGCUUUACCUCAACGCUAUGUCCUGAGUAGGUUGAUAAAUUAACCUUCAAUCUUCAUUAUGUACACAAAUUUGCUGCGUUUGGAGAGAAAUUAUGCAGUUCAUGCAUUUCAAACAAGGAUCAUUCUAAAAUUUUACCCAAAAAAAAAAAAAAACAUUGAAUAUUUUGUAUCAACUGAUUGUUCAGAUAGAGACACUGUGAUUAUGCUAACCCAAAAAAUUCUAAAAGCUGGGAAAGAUUUAAGUCAUCAGUACUACUGUAUCAAAAUUAUGCUAGCU
rnacentral:lncRNA from 1 species